UUAAUAAACAUUCAAGCAACUUGAGACUUUAUUUUGAAAAUAGCUAUUUUGACAUAAUAUCCAGUUUCUCGUGUAUCAGAAUAAAUUCUUUACAACAUUGAUCAUCAUCACCUCUUCUGGGUAUUUGUACAUAAUCUCUGAGUAAAAUAUAGUCACACUAGGCAAGGCUAGAAUAUUGAAACUAUGACAAACAAUGCUUAAGUUUGUUAAUAACAAAACUAUAGUAGUUGUACACUAGAACAGAUGUUUCAAAUGUUUGCCAUUCAAAGAUAAGCUUGGUGGAACAAAACCAAUAUAAGUAUACAUAAAUUUCUUGUCUUCUUUGCUAUCAGUCUUUCAGAAAGCUGAAGUUAUAUUACAAACACUUCAAAUUUCCACUUCAGAGUGAGCAGAAAAAUGAGAAGACAUUAUUUCCUAUUUUACAAAAUAAAACACCAAGUCAGAAGAAGAAUAAAGCUCAUCUUUACGCAGUUAACAUAAAAGCUUGAGUACACCGAUCCUUCUCCAAGAAAUAGAGACGCCAGCCCUGCAAGACAGGCAGCCAACAGGCCAAAGAGUGGAUGGCCGGCACACAGCCUUCUCUACUCUGCAUGACUUACUCAGGACUGAUGCAAACUCUGGCAAGUCAUUUUUUCUAGACUUCCAAGGAUCUUGGAUAUGUAAACUCAAUGAUUAAAAGGCAUUUUUCUGAAUUUGCAUGAGGAAAUCUAAAGAAUCAGAACAAAGAUCCAACUGCUUUGCACAUGAAUCGAUGUUCACCAUUACACCACAACUCAAAUCCAAUGGCAGGCUUUCCAUCAAAUUCAUAUCCAAAGCAUGGAGUUCCAAAUAUGCAACCAUAUACACUGCAGAAAACAAAGAGCCUCCUUACAAUGCGGAGAAGGACUUUGUACUCUGAGAUGAAAUCAAACAUAUUUGGUCCUCUAAGAAGGUCUCGUGAGGCUUAAACUGGGGGGAGGGGAAAGAUAUAGAAACUGCUCAGAAUAAAAGCUGUAAACACUCAUCCUAGAAAAAGCAUACACAAACAUGCAAUCUUUGUCUAGACAAUGUCUUCAGUAACAGAACUUGAAAAUAUUAAACUUUCUUUGCUUCUGUCACUGAAGCAAAUGAAAACUUUCUAUGACACUAUGCGUGUAUGCAUAUAUAUAUGCAUAAAAUAACCAGCUCAUAUGUGACUUUAACGCUAUAAAUACUCACUGCCUUUUUGGUGCUUUUAAAGCACAGCCAAAAUCAGUUUGGAAAUUUGUUCUGGAUUCCCAAGUUGGUUCCCUCUGUCUUUUAGAUGCCUAAGAAGUGGCUGGUUCUCUGAAACCACCAGUUCACACCCCUGUGCAGCUGUUCCAAGCUAACUGGGAUUCCAGAGAAAGUGACUGGACUGACCACAGGCCUCACAGGUGCCUAAACAGCAACCUAUUGAAACCCAAAGCCACUUCCCAGUCAACUCUAUAGUCCAAGGGAGUACUAACCUUCUCUUCCCAUUUCCCCAGCACUCACUAGAGGGGCAGCCAACAGCUGGAAGCCUUUGUAAUGAGUACAAACAAGCAGAAACACUCGCAGGGCAGCAUUUCCCUAAGUGUAUUUCUCAGAACACAAGUCCCACAUGACACUUACUUUAAAAAACAAUUCCACAUAAAAAUAGGAAAAUGGUGUGUAAAAUACAGGUCCUCAUUGGAGUUUGAAACCACCAAUAACAUAUCAAAGAUUCUGAGACGCCUACAGUAACUUCACUUUGUCUAACCCAGAAUUUCCCAAACCUAUUUGGCCAAAGACCUCUCGAUUCAUAUAAUAACCAUAUAUUCUGCCAAAAUAUAUCUUGAACUGCUUUUCCAAAGAACUAAAAUAUAGUGUUUUUUUUUUAAUCUUACAAUAUAAUUUCAAAUUAAGAAUAAUGAGGAUAUAAAAACACUUAUUUUCCUGCAAUUUUUUAAAGGAACUAUUUUGUUUUGCUUUGAACAGUCUUUUGUUAUAACAUUUCACUCUCUAUUUAUAAACAUCCAAUUCAAAGUAACCAUUUCUUAUAUCACUGUUCAAGAAUGUUAGUUCUCAUCAGUAAUCAUUGGCCUCUUUAUCAGGACAAAAAAUUUUUGUAUGCUUUCUGAUUCUGAGAAUACCUCUCCACCUCAAUCACAAUAAUUUUAAGUCUAGGGCAGGUAAUCUGGGCUUUAAAGAAACUAUAUCCCAACAUGAAUUUUGGGAUAAAUAAUUUUACAAACGCUUAAAAAAAAAAAGCAAAUCACUCUAUGUCUCUAUGAAAAUCAACAUUUUGAAGAUUUAAUUAUGCUUCAGUUAAACCUUUGAGACUAGGAUUACUGAACUUUGGUUCAUGUAAUUAACAAAUUUCUUAAUAAUCUAGUACUUUCUUAGGAAAU
ensembl:lncRNA